UGAGCAAUCUGCCCUUACUCUUCGGAAUAAGCGUUGGAAACGACGUCUAAUGCCGAAUACGACCUCCUUUCGCAUGAUCGGAGGUGGAAAGCUCCGGCGGAGAAGGAUGAGCUCGCGGCCUAUCAGCUAGUUGGUGUGGGUAAUGGCCCACCAAGGCGACGACGGGUAGCCGGCCUGAGAGGGUGACCGGCCACACUGGGGCUGAGACACGGCCCAGACUCCUACGGGAGGNAGCG
rnacentral:rRNA from 1 species